rnacentral:rRNA from 1 species
GACGAACGCUGGCGGCGUGCUUAACACAUGCAAGUCGAACGAAGAGCGAUGGAAGCUUGCUUCUAUCAAUCUUAGUGGCGAACGGGUGAGUAACGCGUAAUCAACCUGCCCUUCAGAGGGGGACAACAGUUGGAAACGACUGCUAAUACCGCAUACGAUCUAACCUCGGCAUCGAGGAAAGAUGAAAGGUGGCCUCUAUUUAUAAGCUAUCACUGAAGGAGGGGAUUGCGUCUGAUUAGCUAGUUGGAGGGGUAACGGCCCACCAAGGCGAUGAUCAGUAGCCGGUCUGAGAGGAUGAACGGCCACAUUGGGACUGAGACACGGCCCAGACUCCUACGGGAGGCAGCAGUGGGGAAUCUUCCGCAAUGGACGAAAGUCUGACGGAGCAACGCCGCGUGAGUGAUGACGGCCUUCGGGUUGUAAAGCUCUGUUAAUCGGGACGAAAGGCCUUCUUGCGAACAGUUAGA